CCCUUCACCCCUAUUAUGAUAACACAGAUCAAAAUGUCAAGGGACAUAUCCAUAUGCCCGUUAGGACCCGAAGAGGGGAAGGGGUGGACAUGGCUAUUAAGCUCUGAAGGGCACAGUUUCAAGAGGGAUGAAUUAUCUGGAAUGAGGUUGAGGCUGCUCUGUACCUACGAAGACAAAAGGGGGAAGAGGAGGUUUAGCCGGCGCGGGGAGGCGGGCGACCGGCACCUCUACUGGGUCUGCGACUUCCAAGACCUCUUCGUCGCUGUCACUGACCAAGUCCACAAGCACGGUGUCUGGAAUGAGCCUAGCCGGAGACUGCCGGGCGCGAGGACACCGGCCACGGGCGCCUCGGGCUCUCCGAGCGCCUCGGCCACCGCGGGACCUCGGACCACGUCCCCUCAGUGGUUCCGCCAUCUCCCACACUGCUUCCACAAACACCGGCCUCUACACAGUCACCGGCCCACCGUAUUAGCGUCUGUCCCUUUCAUUGGACGAACAGCCUGCCGGUCAUCAUCUCUUCCCGCCCACACGCUCUGGAUCCGCCUAUCCACGUUCUCAUUGGUCUACUUACCUGUCUAUCACCUACCCUCCACUAAAACAAAGGCGCCAAAGAUUCCAAUCUCUUUGGUACAAUCAAAAAAGGUUUCGAUUCUGUACAGUUCAUCCAUUGGCUAAAUUUCCUCCUGACCCAGCCUUCCCCAGGGCCCGCCCAUUAGAGAAAUCCAUUUUCCUGGUUGGUGAAAGACUGGCGCAUCCUGGGAAUUGUAGUCCUCAUUCUCGGAAGCCACAGAAAAAGCCUUGUGGAACUAAGGUUAGAAGCUGAAGAUCUUGGGCUGUGGAUUCCUUUUGUGUCCUCAACCUCUGUGUGGCAGGAGUUCCAUUCCACACUAAACACCUUCAUGCAUGUCACCUCUGAAAUACUCUACAAACACAAUAUCAAAACAAUAUAUGUCAUAGCACAGCACAACUCAGAAACACUUUUUAAGACAAUUACAAAUUAAAAUAAGAGACUUACUUCCCUGUUGCAAAGAAAAGAGGCUUCCUUCUGGCUCCUCUUUCCUGAUCAUUGAAAUAUGAAUGCUUCUCGGUUUACAGCGGGGUUACUCUUGAUAAAGGCCUUGCUGCCGCUUAUCUGCACAAUGUACUACAGAGCACCAGGGUUCAUGCUCGUGAUUGUAGACUGACUGGGAGCUAGCUGCGCUUUCCAGCAACAUGCUAUGCACACUUAGCUCGUUUGGGAAACAAUACAACUUCAAAACUCAGAAAGGUCUGAAUUCUGAGAGGUCUUUGAUGGUUUAAUGUUUGUCUGCUGGUCAAUACCCUGCUGGCAUUCACUCAUGCAUGUGGAAAUUAACUGAAAAAAAUGUAAGUACUGUCAGUACCAUGGUUGUGCAUAUGCUAAUCCUUCUAAUGUCUUAAUAAACCCCUUGCCUUUUCACAACUCAGCAA
rnacentral:lncRNA from 1 species